rnacentral:rRNA from 1 species
UACGAAGGGGGCUAGCGUUGCUCGGAAUCACUGGGCGUAAAGGGCGCGUAGGCGGCGUUUUAAGUCGGGGGUGAAAGCCUGUGGCUCAACCACAGAAUUGCCCUCGAUACUGGGACGCUUGAGUGUGGUAGAGGUUGGUGGAACUGCGAGUGUAGAGGUGAAAUUCGUAGAUAUUCGCAAGAACACCGGUGGCGAAGGCGGCCAACUGGACCAUCACUGACGCUGAGGCGCGAAAGCGUGGGGAGCAAACAGG